rnacentral:rRNA from 1 species
AACGUAGGUUCCGAGCGUUAUCCGGAUUUACUGGGCGUAAAGCGCGUUCAGGCGGUUUGGCAAGUCGGGCAUGAAAUCUCUCGGCUCAACCGGGAGAGGUUGUCCGAUACUGCUGGACUUGAGGGCAGUAGAGGGUGGUGGAAUUCCGGGUGUAGUGGUGAAAUGCGUAGAUAUCCGGAGGAACAUCAGUGGCGAAGGCGGCCAUCUGGGACAACACUGACGCUGAAGCACGAAAGCGUGGGGAGCAAACAGG